ACCUUAGUUGAUGCCAUUCUUGUGUCCACUCGCACAUUCUUUCUCAUGUCCAUUCGCAUGUCCCGUCGCUUCCAGAUCAGCUGCAGGAGCUGGAAUAUAUGCCACAUUUCCAUUCACAGCUUGUUGUUCAUUUGUUGUUAUGUUCGGGAAAGCUGGAGAGAUUAAAGUACAUGAGGAAGAGAAGAGAUUAAAUGUAUUGAUGUCAGGUGAGAUAUUCCAG